UACGGAGGAUGCGAGCGUUAUCCGGAUUUACUGGGUGUAAAGGGCGUGUAGGCGGCAUGUCAAGUCAGCGGUAAAAGCCCGGGGCUCAACCCCGGGAGUGCAUUGGAAACUGUGGUGCUAGAGUGUCGGAGAGGCAAGUGGAAUUCCUAGUGUAGCGGUGAAAUGCGUAGAUAUUAGGAGGAACACCAGUGGCGAAGGCGGCUUGCUGGACGAUGACUGACGUUGAGGCUCGAAAGCGUGGGGAGCAAACAGG
rnacentral:rRNA from 1 species